ensembl:lncRNA
CUGAAUUGAGCUAAGAAGGUUUAGAUUAUGAUGUCAUGUAUAACAGAUUUAAAACUUUAUAAAACAGUAACAUAUGGAAUGUAGAACAUUUUGUAACAUAGGAAACAUUAUUGAAUCAUAAAAGUACAGAAAAUAAUAAUUUCACAAAGAAACCCUGGUUACCUUUGAGUGUAAGCUAACCCCAACACUAAGCGAUCUCAAUUAUUCGAAAGCCAGUCAUGGCCAAUACCCUGUCUACAUUUUGAAGCUUGCGUCUGGAGCAGGCUUGAGACACAAAGGGUGCAUUUAUCACCAUCUGAGAUGCAGUGGCCUCUGGAUCCACUGGCCUCACACAGUCUUUCGUAGAACUCAGAGGAAUCUCACCUGCGGAGGAGGGUCUUGAGCCAACCCUAGCCAUGAGUCAACAUAUGGGAAUUGAUCCAGGUGUCCCUGCUCUCUUGUGACUAUUGCAUGAAAGUGAAGUCACUCAGUCGUGUCCAACUCUUUGUGACCCCAUGGACUGUAGCCUACCAAGCUCC